rnacentral:lncRNA from 1 species
GGCUAGCUGUAAACCACUUCUGAUGAUAACAUACCUCCCUUUUUCUUAUCAUAGAGAGAAGAAAAAAGGGAAAUAGGGGAAGCCGAUGCUAAAAGGAAAAUAGGGGCUUUAGACAUCUUAAACUGCUCCCUGCUGUCUAGGAGCAUUAUCAGUUUUGGGGUGUAGCUGACUUUCACCAUUCGGGUCCACUUGAUAGUUGUGUAAAAGGAACUGUUUGAGUUUUCAGUUAGAAAAUUAUGACUUUUUCUUUGAAGGAAUGUGGAAACAAGAUUAAUGAGGCAGGGAGGAAAUAGUAGCUCCAGGAAAAUGGGGAGAAGAGGCAUUAAGAAGGGCAGUAUCCUAUUUCCAUGUAGGGUUUUGAAAAACCCAGGAAUUGGAGGCCUCAUGCUGUUCCCUAAAUUUCUAGAUGUCUGGUUGCAGCUGAUGGAAUUUAUUUCUUACUGCCCCAGAUUCAUUGACAUAGAAACAGCAUUCUUCCUGGAGAAACAGACAAAGACCACCUUCUUUAGCUGUCAGAACAUCUAGUCCCUGUCAGUUCUGAAGCACAAAUGGUGCCAAAGAAUCGAUCUUUUUCUGGAUUAUGAGCGUGGUUUCAUACAUUCCUUGGAAACCAUUGUCAAGCUGGGAUAAGAACUUCAUGUAUAGGGUUACGGAAAUCGUCGGCCCUGCUGUUCCACUGCCAGCACCUGUAGCUACUUCUGCAGCAACCAGGAAUAGCACAACCUGCAGUGCCCUCUUAUGCUGGACAGGUAUAUGUCAAAAACUGGAAUUGGUAGAGAUUCUUUGCCAUGUAUUACUCCUAGUUCAGGGAAGGAACACCAGUGUGCAAACUCCUCUUGCCCAGCUGGCAGGUAUGCUACAGGUACAAAGGAGGGUCCCAGUUGGUGACCUAAAUUUCCAAAUGUUGGUAUCAGGAACUGCUUUUGCCUCCAGCAAUGAUGUCAUCUUGUCACCUGAGCAUCUGUUGUCAAGGCAACGGUCAUCCAUAUCCAGCAUACAUUUCAUGUUACAGUUACACCACAUUUCACAUAAGAGGCAGAUCCUUUCUGCCCUCUUCCACUUCUCUCUCCUCUCUUCCCUUUUUCUCCUCUCUUUCUCUCCUACCUCUCUUCACCCCUUGGCC